rnacentral:rRNA from 1 species
GAGUUUGAUCUUGGCUCAGAUUGAACGCUGGCGGCAGGCUUAACACAUGCAAGUCGAGCGGGGGAGAUUGCUUCGGUAAUUGACCUAGCGGCGGACGGGUGAGUAAUACUUAGGAAUCUGCCUAUUAAUGGGGGACAACAUCUCGAAAGGGAUGCUAAUACCGCAUACGCCCUACGGGGAAAGCAGGGGAUCACUUGUGACCUUGCGUUAAUAGAUGAGCCUAAGUCGGAUUAGCUAGUUGGUGGGGUAAAGGCCUACCAAGGCGACGAUCUGUAGCGGGUCUGAGAGGAUGAUCCGCCACACUGGGACUGAGACACGGCCCAGACUCCUACGGGAGGCAGCAGUGGGGAAUAUUGGACAAUGGGGGAACCCUGAUCCAGCCAUGCCGCGUGUGUGAAGAAGGCCUUAUGGUUGUAAAGCACUUUAAGCGAGGAGGAGGCUCCUGUAGUUAAUACCUACAGAGAGUGGACGUUACUCGCAGAAUAAGCACCGGCUAACUCUGUGCCAGCAGCCGCCG